UACGAAGGGGGUUAGCGUUGCUCGGAAUCACUGGGCGUAAAGGGUGCGUAGGCGGGUCUUUUAGUCAGGGGUGAAAUCCUGGAGCUCAACUCCAGAACUGCCUUUGAUACUGAAGAUCUUGAGUUCGGGAGAGGUGAGUGGAACUGCGAGUGUAGAGGUGAAAUUCGUAGAUAUUCGCAAGAACACCAGUGGCGAAGGCGGCUCACUGGCCCGAUACUGACGCUGAGGCACGAAAGCGUGGGGAGCAAACAGG
rnacentral:rRNA from 1 species